AACGAACGCUGGCGGCGUGCUUAACACAUGCAAGUCGAACGUGAAAGACUUCGGUCGAGUAAAGUGGCGAACGGGUGAGUAACGCGUGGGUAAUCUGCCCUCGGGCGGGGGAUAACCUCUCGAAAGGGGGCGUAAUACCGCAUGAGACCACGGCUUCUUGGAGCUGUGGGAAAAGGUAGGGUCGCAAGACCAGCCACCUGAGGAUGAGCCCGCGUACCAUUAGGUAGUUGGUGGGGUAAUGGCCUACCAAGCCUGAGAUGGUUAGCUGGUCUGAGAGGACGAUCAGCCACACUGGGACUGAGACACGGCCCAGACUCCUACGGGAGGCAGCAGUGGGGAAUAUUGCGCAAUGGGGGGAACCCUGACGCACCAACGCCGCGUGUGUGAAGAAGGCCUCGGUCGUAAGACACU
rnacentral:rRNA from 1 species